rnacentral:sRNA from 1 species
AAGAAAAAAAAAUAAAGAUUAUAUCAAAUCACAGUAAGGAAUGCCAAGAAUCUGGAAUAUGCCAAUCGCUGGCACAGAUGGACACAGUCAGGUGCUGUGGAAAGCUGCUCAUGACGACUGAUCUUGUCACCCUGACUGGCUGGAAAGCAGCCUGCAUUCUAGAUUCUGGGUGAGAACCUCUCAAGAGAAUGAUGGUUUGUAUGAGAACAACUGAGGGUAAACGGUCAGCUUGAACGUGAAUGGUACUGCGCAACGGACCCAAAUGGAACCAAAGGGGAGAAGGAAGCAACACGUGCACACACCACGCUCGCUGCUACUGUGGCUACCAUCACCCAUGAACAUCUGACCGCUCUGGAUGUGAUCAAGCCUGUGACUCCUGGAAGCCUCCAGGUUCUAACCCUCAGAGAACUCAACUCACACCUUCCAUGAGAAGUUAAGCAAUCGAUUAUCCUGUGACCAGGCCACUGCGCUCCGAGGCACAUACCUGAAGGAUUAAGGACAGGUGUGCAAACCAGGACAUGAGUUUACAGCAGCUCCAUCAACAAAGCCAAAGGUCCACCAGUUGACUGGCAAACACAACGUGGCACGCCCACACAACAGAAUGUCACUCCGUUCUAGAAAGGAAUGAGACCCGACACCCAGCAUGAAGGCAGAUAGAAGAACCAGGAAGCACUGUGCCAAGCGCAGAGAGUCAGGCCCAAAGAUCACAUCCGUACAAAUCUGUUUAUUUUAGAUAUCUAGAUUAAGGGAUUCAAAGAAAUUAAAAGCAAGUUGUUUGCCAGGGGAGCGAGGGAUUGUGGGGGUGACUGCUUCGUGGGUAUCCGGUUUCCUAAAGGUGGGUGAGAAUGUUCUGGAACUGGAGAGUAGUGCUGGCUUCACAUCGGUCACACAUGCAGCAAAUGGCAUUAAAAAUGGGCCAGGUGAUUAAUCCUGCUUUGUGUAUCUUACCACAAUAAAAAGAAGAAUUGACGUAACACACAGAGAAGGGUAGUGUGUGAGCAUACUAACAGCUUAGUGCUGUGGAAAUGAUCCCGGGUAAUAGAAAUACAGCAGCGAAUGGAGAAUUGAAGGUCCUAAAAUAAACCACCAACCGGAUACAAGGAAGGCUGGUCGGACUCCAGUCUCAGCAGCACUGAAAUCCACUGAGGGGGCAAGUGCCUCAACCAACCAACGGAAGGCCGAGGACCCCACAUUUCCCUAUAGAGUAUUAACUAAGGCGCAAGCAGCCCCAAUCCAACUGUUUACACACAGAGCUAAGCUCCUGGUCCGCUUCAGGCGAGACACUGGCACAGCACAGGGAGACCUUGUUUAAGGCUCUAACCCCUCCAGGGACUGAGUGGUGCCAGGGAAGGGGAAAGUGAGAAGCGGUCCUUUCUGAAGGGCCGUGUCACAGCCUGCCUGACCGAGGCUCCUCAGCUUCCUCUGGGGUGUGCUCACCUCGCCGUCCACCACCCAAGCUCACACCAUCCCAGUCUUCCAGAGUGAUGUCCUCUCCCUGACUUAGCUCACUAUGGCCCUUCCCCAGCAUAUCCUGACGGACCAUGCCAGAAUGUGAGCACUGCUCUCGCCCAUCUUGCCCUCACAGACUGGAGGAGUGGAGGCCUCACCACCAGGCUGGGCCGCACUUUUUCUUGGACUGCUCAUCUGUGCACCGACUACUGGCACAGUCGCACUGGACUGGCACACUACAGGGCCUACUCCGAGCUCAUGGAGGCCUCAUAUCUGUCUUGGUGGAAGAGGCUGCUGGUACCCAUCCCUCGAUGUUGGGAGAUCCCACACAUUGACCAGUAGUAUCUUUGAAAGAAUUCCUACUCCACAUAUCUUCCUUUGGUUCUAAUGUGUCACCCUGAGGUGAGGGGGUUAGAGUAUGGCUCCCUUUACUAGAAAUAUCACCUAUGACAUACAGCCUUCCAUCGCCUGUGCAUAUAAAUAUCCACAUACAUUAUCUAACAGUCACAGCCAUCACUGAGCCCCUAGUUUGUCUCAAGAGCUGGUACCAGGCCCACCUGACAGACCUUGUGCUUAAAGUUAUCAAUAGGUAUGUUUGUAACUAUUUCCUAAGCCUCACACAGCCAGUGUUUAAAACAUGUGAAGGGCAUCAUGCAGACUCCAAGGUCACUAGUAAGAUCCUCACCAGGUAGAAAUCUUCAGGAAGUCCAGGGGCUGAACUUCAGACCUUGAAAGGACCUUAGCAGUUACUUGGCCAACCUAAUGAAAAUCAGCCAAGUGCCUAAGUGGCUGCUGGGAGACCUGCCCAAGGUCAUCACAGGAGACAAGACAGCAAUUUCCAAAGCUGCCCUUUAUUUUUAUUUUUGUUAAAGAUGAAUUGACUCAUAAUGCUAAUUUUAAUAUUUAUCAAACCAGUCGUGGAAUGAAUUUUUAAUGCAAAAUAACUAUUUUGGUCUAAGAAAAAAAUUGAACAAACUGGGCUUUCAACACUACGUCAAGCUGUAUGAAUCCCAACCUACUGGGCCGUGGAAUAAUGGAUUCUUAAUUGAAUCUGUGCCUGAGAGUAGAAGACUGAUUUUUUAAAUGGGAAACCUCACAGAGGUGGUGAGAAAUAAAUUCAGUCAGAUAAAUUAUUCCAGGAGAAAGAACAAAACCAGGCCAGAAAAUGGCUUUUUCUAGAAGACCCCAAAUAAACCCAGGACAGCUGACAGCUGGCAAACCACAGUGCUCACCCCGUCUUCCUGGCCUCAGCAGACCCUAAUCUCCAAGGUAUCACUGAAGCCUGUCUAGCAGUUCAAGACCCUAGUCGUUUGCCACAUUUGUAUUACUGGCAUCCCAGGACAUGCUACCCAGAGUUGUCAAAGACCAUGGCAGCAGCAACUACCCCUAGCUAUCGAGGCUGGCAUAAGAGCCUGGGAAUAGCACUUCUCAAAGACAGGAAAACGGAGGCCCAGAGGGGCAGGCACCUGCUCCAGCAAGGUCACGUGGAGUUAAGGGCACUAAUCAUACAAGGUAGCGUUUUGGCAGAUUUGUCAGCUCCUGAGUUGCUCCAUCUCCAGCUGUGAGGGCCUCAGAGGCAUGCGAAUGAAAAUCAAGAGAGAAUUAUGGACAUAGUAUUUAUAGGCAGGAGGGAAGGAAUUAACAGGGUCAUGAAAGCUGGGACACAGGAGAUCUUGUUUACUGAGAUUCACACUUUACACUCAACCUUUAUUAAUGGUUUAUUCUGGUAACACUGGUGGGGGUUGGGAGGAGGGCUGGAGAGAUGGCUCUUGCAAAAGACGCAGGUUUGAUCCCAGCACACAACUGUGACUCCAGUUCCAAGGGUUCCAAUGGCACCUUCUGGUCUCAACGGGCGGCACCAGGCAUGUACAAGGUGGGCACACACACAAGCAGGUGAAAACUCACACUUUCCUGACAGUGGACUUGAACUUUAGCUGCAGAUGGUCUUGAUGGACCACCAUUACUAAGAAGGACGUUCCUUGCAUCAUGAGAAACAGGUAACCACACCAGGGAGGUACCACCAGCGUAACUUAGUGGGAAGAUGACAACCAUUUCCAAACAUAUCAGUUGCUUCAGAGGACACUGUCUCCAGGGCCUUUUCUAUUACUUUGAGUUUUAACCAAUAAUACUCAGUCAUGGGGUGUUUCAUAGGAUGCCAACGCCAAGAGAAGUCCAUGAAAACACUUUAAAAAGAUGGUGUUCGAUUAUUUUCUAUUUUUCCAAGAGCAGCUUCAACGUACUGCAAAUCAAACAAUUCCCACGAGGCCGGGUGGUGUGACUGACAACGCUGCAACCAAAGACCCUCCCAAGCUAUCCUGUGUGUCUGGGGUAAGUCACCAAUCCCCCAGCCCCACCCCAGCCAGUCUUUACUCCUGCACAAGGAUGAAACCCAGUUGGCCCUCUCUGUCACAGGGCGUGGACUGCUAACUGGCCAAUCAAGCUCCAAGACUUGGAGGGUAAGUUCAUCCUGUUGUUGUACGUAUGUACCACUACCAGUCCCAAGGGGAAGAUUCUGUGUAGACAGCACGCUCCUUUGAUGACCACUAAGAUAGGGAGAAGAAACAUCACAGAAUGUUGUUCAACAACACCAUCUUUAUUCAAAAAUAUAUAUCUAUGAGACAUUUCAGAAUAUACUGCUGUCACCAAUGGCAGCCUAUACUUCUAAAUAAAGUCCUAAAUUAAUAUACAAAUUUAAGCUUUAAAAAUAUCCUUUAGGAAAAACAAAACAAAAACAAAGAAAGACUGAAGACUUUCUGAGGAAUAUGACCCUAAAGGAAAGAUCCUUGAGGCCUAUGGAUCCCCUAAAGAAACACAAAACCAGAAGUCACCCACCCCACCCACCAGAUCAACUCUCAGGGACAAAAGUUUCACUUAAGUUAAACAAGGGAAGUAAGCACACAGUUGGGAGACUGAGGGAGGGGAGGAAGGAGAGGCAGACAACAAGAAAGAUUAAAAAACUGAAGCAUUUCAUUAAAACAAAACUAACUUCCUUACAGAAGUCUGCUAGCAACUGGUGUUAAGAGACCAACACAUUCAUUUACAUAAUCGCUACUGGUUCGUGUCUUGAUCCUGCUCUAAGAGUUACACACUGAUUGCUGUCAGACUCCAAAGAAUAAAACACAGCACUGAGCCGACUCCAUCAAGUUGUCAUCAGAGCAGAGCCGCUACAAUCUUUUGUCUGUCUCGUGGGAAAGCAGUGUCUGGGGGAGGAGUUGAGGAUGGUGUGCACGUGACAGUAUAGUGGCGCUGUGUGUGGGGAGGUGUUCCGCAGCAGAGACGGGAUUUCACCCAAGUCAGUGCUGUCCUGUAGCCUCUGGAGAAAAGGAUGCUGACAGAAGAGGCAGAGUGAACAAGCAAACAGCAGCCUGCAUUCGAUGUGAUAACAGUUUCCACAGUGACCAGGCUGGACACAGUGGAACUGAGUCUCACCUCAUAGCAGGCAGGGUGGCUUCUCAGACUGAAGCCUGCCUACAAUGACACAGGUUUGCUUUAACAUGUAAAAAACGAUGUGUGCUUUUUUGGUGAUCCUGAAAACAGCAACUUAAAGUAAUGAAGCUUCUCAAGGUCCCUUCACUGAAUUCCUUCUUACAGCUUUUGGACUUCAGCUCCAGGCAACAAUUCCUAUUACACUAGGAGGACAAAAGGGUUUCUGC